GCCUGGGUGGCUCAGUUGGUUGAGCGUCUGACUUCAGCUCAGGUCAUGAUCUCUUGGCUCGUGAGUUCGAGCCCCGCGUUGGGCU
rnacentral:tRNA from 1 species